rnacentral:rRNA from 1 species
UACGUAGGGCGCAAGCGUUGUCCGGAAUUAUUGGGCGUAAAGAGCUCGUAGGCGGUUUGUCGCGUCUGCUGUGAAAACCUGAGGCUCAACCUCGGGCUUGCAGUGGGGUACGGGCAGACUAGAGUGCGGUAGGGGUGACUGGAAUUCCUGGUGUAGCGGUGGAAUGCGCAGAUAUCAGGAGGAACACCGAUGGCGAAGGCAGGUCACUGGGCCGCAACUGACGCUGAGGAGCGAAAGCAUGGGGAGCGAACAGG